UACGGGGGGAGCAAGCGUUGUUCGGAUUUACUGGGCGUAAAGGGCGCGUAGGCGGUCGUGACAAGUCACUUGUGAAAUCUCCGGGCUUAACUCGGAACGGUCAAGUGAUACUGUCGGACUAGAGUACAGAAGGGGCAACUGGAAUUCUCGGUGUAGCGGUGAAAUGCGUAGAUAUCGAGAGGAACACCGGUGGCGAAGGCGGGUCUCUGGGCAGUAACUGACGCUGAGGAGCGAAAGCGUGGGGAGCGAACAGG
rnacentral:rRNA from 1 species